rnacentral:rRNA from 1 species
GACAGAGGAUGCAAGCGUUAUCCGGAAUGAUUGGGCGUAAAGCGUCUGUAGGUGGCUUUUUAAGUCCGCCGUCAAAUCCCAGGGCUCAACCCUGGACAGGCGGUGGAAACUACCAAGCUGGAGUACGGUAGGGGCAGAGGGAAUUUCCGGUGGAGCGGUGAAAUGCGUUGAUAUCGGAAGGAACGCCGGUGGCGAAAGCGAUCCGCUGGCCCUCUACUGACGCUGAGGCGCGAAAGCCAGGGGAGCAAACGGG